rnacentral:sRNA from 1 species
GCCAGGUGUGGUGGCCUAUGCCUGUAAUCCCAGGGGUUCUGGAGGCUGAGGCAGGAGGAUCCCAAGUUCAAAGUCCAGCCUCUGCAAAAGCAAGGUACUAAGCAACUCAGUGAGACCCUGUCUCUA